rnacentral:rRNA from 1 species
AUUGAACGCUGGCGGCAUGCCUUACACAUGCAAGUCGAACGGCAGCACGGGAGCAAUCCUGGUGGCGAGUGGCGAACGGGUGAGUAAUACAUCGGAACGUGCCCGGUAGUGGGGGAUAACCCGGCGAAAGCCGGACUAAUACCGCAUACGACCUACGGGUGAAAGCAGGGGAUCGCAAGACCUUGCGCUAUCGGAGCGGCCGAUGUCAGAUUAGCUUGUUGGCGGGGAAAAGCCCACCAAGGCGACGAUCUGUAGCUGGUCUGAGAGGACGACCAGCCACACUGGGACUGAGACACGGCCCAGACUCCUACGGGAGGCAGCAGUGGGGAAUUUUGGACAAUGGGCGCAAGCCUGAUCCAGCCAUGCCGCGUGCGGGAAGAAGGC